CAGUACAGGCCGAGGCUCUUGGUCCCCCGGCAGUGAGGAAAGCGCUUGGACUGUUUACUAAUAUACUGUUCACUCAUGCUGAGAUUGGUCAGUUCAGGAAACCAACCUCAAGUGUGGCUGUGGCAGGGCUGAGAAGGAAACUGGUCCGGAGGCAGCCCUUCAAGAUGAUGCUGAGAGCCAUCUGCCCCGCACUGGGGACAGUCCUCCUGUGGUUCUCACUACCCUCCUCCCCCGUGACCCUCAGCACUUCAGCCCAGCUUCAACCAUGCGGAGCCCCCAGCGCCGAGACACCAUUGUUGAUAUACAAGACUCUGGGGUCUCACCUGCCCAUCCACAUGGGUGUCUGCCCCCUCUCCAGGGUCCCACUACCCCACCCCCACCCCCAGCCUGUCCUGUCCGGUAUGUCCUGUGGCCUCACAGAUCACCGCACAGUCGCCUCUGGACGAAAGCUUCCCGGUCUGAACCAACAAGAACAGAAAGAGUUACACCCAGCCCGCUGUCUCCAGCACGUUCCAAGCAGCGGCUAAGCCACAAUUUAUCACCACGAAAGUCCGAGCGUUCCAGAACGCCAGGCCAUCAACUUCUCCCCCCACCUAAGAGACUGACAUGGAGACUUUUUCUCCUCCCGUGCUUGAGAUGAGGCUGAGGGUCUUGCAGGUGCUAGACCAGUGCUCUCGACCACGGAGUCACACGGAGUCACACCUCCGGCCUCUGGAACAGAAAUGGCAAUGUCACCUUGGGUCA